GCCAGUGUGGUGUAGUGGUUUGAGUAUUAGACUGUGGCUCUGGAGACCAGAGUUCAAUUCCCAGCUUAACCA